rnacentral:tRNA from 1 species
GCGCGGGUGGCGGAACCGGUAGACGCGCCAGACUUAGGAUCUGGUGGGGUAUCCCGUGCGGGUUCGAGUCCCGCCCCGCGCACCA